GUCUUAUAAGAAUAGCUACACCUGCUCACUUUUGGUGUCCAUUUGCAUGGAAUGUCUUUUUCCAUCCCUUUACCCUAGGUUUAUGUGAGUCCUUGUGUGUUAGGUGAAAACAAAGACAGUUGG